GUCUAGAUGCCCGAGUGGUCUAAGGCGCUGCGUUAAGGUUGCAGUCUCCCCUGGAGGCGUGGGUUCAAAUCCCACUUCUGACA
rfam:Gasterosteus aculeatus cont1.016725, whole genome shotgun sequence.